UCUCCGUAGGUGAACCUGCGGAGGGAUCAUUACUGAGUGAGGGCCUCCGGUCCGACCUCCAACCCUUUGUGAACCAACACUGUUGCUUCGGGGGCGACCCUGCCUUUCGGGCAGUGCGCCCCCGGGGUCAAUCAAACACUGCAUUCUCUGCGUCGGAGUAUUAGUAAAUCUAAUCAAAACUUUCAACAACGGAUCUCUUGGUUCUGGCAUCGAUGAAGAACGCAGC
rnacentral:misc_RNA from 1 species